rnacentral:rRNA from 1 species
GACAAUGGGGGCAACCCUGAUCCAGCAUGCCGCGUGAGUGAAGAAGGCCCUCGGGUUGUAAAGCUCUUUGUCAGGGAAGAAACGGAGUUCUCUAAUAUAGGAUUCUAAUGACGGUACCUGAAGAAUAAGCACCGGCUAACUACGUGCCAGCAGCCGCGGUAAUACGUAGGGUGCAAGCGUUAAUCGGAAUUACUGGGCGUAAAGCGUGCGCAGGCGGUUUGGUAAGACAGAUGUGAAAUCCCCGGGCUCAACCUGGGAAUUGCAUUUGUGACUGCCCGACUAGAGUGUGUCAGAGGGGGGUAGAAUUCCACGUGUAGCAGUGAAAUGCGUAGAGAUGUGGAGGAAUACCGAUGGCGAAGGCAGCCCCCUGGGAUAACACUGACGCUCAUGCACGAAAGCGUGGGGAGCAAACAGGAUUAGAUACCCUGGUAGUCCACGCCCUAAACGAUGUCUACUAGUUGUUGGGUCUUAAUUGACUUAGUAACGCAGCUAACNUGUGAAGUAGACCGCCUGGGGAGUACGGUCGCAAGAUUAAAACUCAAAGGAAUUGACGGGGACCCGCACAAGCGGUGGAUGAUGUGGAUUAAUUCGAUGCAACGCGAAAAACCUUACCUACCCUUGACAUGUACGGAAUCCCUGAGAGAUUAGGGAGUGCUCGAAAGAGAACCGUAACACAGGUGCUGCAUGGCU